AACGAACGCUGGCGGCAGGCCUAAAACAUGCAAGUCGAACGAUCUAGCAAUAGAUAGUGGCGCACGGGUGAGUAACACGUGGGAAUAUCCCUUUCACUACGGAACAACGUCGGGAAACUGACGCUAAUACCGUAUAAUGUCUCCGGACCAAAGAUUUAUCGGUGAAAGAUUAGCCCGCGUCUGAUUAGCUAGUUGGUGAGGUAACGGCUCACCAAGGCAACGAUCAGUAGCUGGUCUGAGAGGAUGAUCAGCCACACUGGAACUGAGACACGGUCCAGACUCCUACGGGAGGCAGCAGUUAGGAAUAUUGGACAAUGGGGGCAACCCUGAUCCAGCCAUGCCGCGUGUGUGACGAAGGCCUUAGGGUUGCAAAGCACUUUCGUCUACGAAGAUAAUGACAGUAGUAGAAGAAGAAGCUCCGGCUAAAUUCGUGCCAGCCGCCGCCGUAA
rnacentral:rRNA from 1 species